UACGUAGGGCGCAAGCGUUGUCCGGAAUUAUUGGGCGUAAAGAGCUCGUAGGCGGUCUGUUGCGUCUGCUGUGAAAACUCGGGGCUUAACCCCGAGCCUGCAGUGGAUACGGGCAGACUAGAGGUAGGUAGGGGAGAAUGGAAUUCCCGGUGUAGCGGUGAAAUGCGCAGAUAUCGGGAGGAACACCAGUGGCGAAGGCGGCUUUCUGGUCUGUAACUGACGCUGAGGCGCGAAAGCGUGGGGAGCAAACAGG
rnacentral:rRNA from 1 species